GCCUUGCUAGCUCAAUCGGUAGAGCGUGAGACUCUUAAUCUCAAGGUUGCGGGUUCGACCCCCGCGUGAGGCUCA